rnacentral:rRNA from 1 species
GACGAACGCUGGCGGCGUGCUUAACACAUGCAAGUCGAACGGAAAGGCCCCUGCUUGCAGGGGUGCUCGAGUGGCGAACGGGUGAGUAACACGUGGGUGAUCUGCCCUUCACUUCGGGAUAAGCCUGGGAAACUGGGUCUAAUACCGGACAGGACCAAUCUUUAGUGUGGUUGGUGGAAAGUUUUUUCGGUGGAGGAUGAGCCCGCGGCCUAUCAGCUUGUUGGUGGGGUAAUGGCCUACCAAGGCGACGACGGGUAGCCGGCCUGAGAGGGUGACCGGCCACAUUGGGACUGAGACACGGCCCAA